rnacentral:rRNA from 1 species
CCGCGUGUGUGAUGAAGGCUUUCGGGUCGUAAAGCACUGUUGUAUGGGAAGAACAGCUAGAAUAGGAAAUGAUUUUAGUUUGACGGUACCAUACCAGAAAGGGACGGCUAAAUACGUGCCAGCAGCCGCGGUAAUACGUAUGUCCCGAGCGUUAUCCGGAUUUAUUGGGCGUAAAGCGAGCGCAGACGGUUUAUUAAGUCUGAUGUGAAAGCCCGGAGCUCAACUCCGGAAUGGCAUUGGAAACUGGUUAACUUGAGUGCAGUAGAGGUAAGUGGAACUCCAUGUGUAGCGGUG